AUAAGUUUCAAACCGUCGGUCUACCGAGCAAUAUCACCCACUCAGUGGAAGAAAUUCCCUUUAUCGU
rnacentral:pre_miRNA from 1 species